GAUGCUUUCAAGGUUGAAUGAUUUGAAGAAGUAUUAUCUUUAUAGACACAAUCAAAAAACUGCUUGGAUAAUAGAUAUACUGAAUCAUUUGUAUCUGGCACUAGACAAUUUAUCUGUUGCAAAUAAACCAUAUAAGGGAAGAGCUAUCAAGUCAUGUACAACAGAAGAAGAGAUUGAUAACAAGAAGUUGAAUUAUAUGAUGCUACAUGGGAAUAAAAAAUUGAGUGAGGAGAAGCAGCUAUUGAGAAAUAAAAAUCUGUGCCAGAAGAAGAUAGAUGAUGCAUCAAGUUCACCUCUUUUAGAGCUCUUGAAAAAUGUAAAUUAUGAUUUUUUUAUCCAUACCAUUUAUUUUUGGUCUUUUUUUUAAGCUUCUGUUUCCUUAUGAAAUGACACUGAUGUUAAAUUAUUACCAUUUAAGUCAUUCAUUUAUUAUCUAAUUUAAGGCAUUUUAUUUUUAUUGUUUGGGUUAUUAUGAACUAUAUACAUGGUAACUCCAGGUACAGAUGAAAUAUAGUACUUACAAUCAUCACUAUAAACAGAACAUUUGUGAUAAACUCCUUAAAGAAAUAAAACUUUUUGAAGUGACAAGGAAAAAGUCAGCACAAUUAAAAGAAAGCACCAGAAACCAAGUGAAGAUUAUUUGUGAUGAGUUAAUAGAGAUGAGGAAGAGAAAGCAGGCACUUGAGACCAAAAUUAAACAUGUUGGUAAACAAUUAGAGGUCAUAAAUGAAGAAAUAUGGUCAUUUCAGAAGCACUUGAAAGAUAGGAACUGCAGA